UCCUUUAAGACCGAGCACCGAGACGAGCCUUUAUGGCGAAGUCACUGAUACCACGCUUCCAGGAAAAGCUCCUAAGCUUCAGCUCACGAAGACCGUACCGUAAACCGACACAGGUGGGUAGGAUGAGAAUUCUCAGGCGCUUGAGAGAACUCGGGUGAAGGAACUAGGCAACAUGGCACCGUAACUUCGGGAGAAGGUGCACCCUUUUUGGUGGCUCAUGCGAGCUAUAGCUGAAGAGGGUCGCAGAAACCAGGCCGCUGCGACUGUUUAUCAAAAACACAGCACUCUGCAAACACGAAAGUGGACGUAUAGGGUGUGACGCCUGCCCGGUGCUGGAAGGUUAAUUGAUGGGGUCAGCCGCAAGGCGAAGCUCUUGAUCGAAGCCCCAGUAAACGGCGGCCGUAACUAUAACGGUCCUAAGGUAGCGAAAUUCCUUGUCGGGUAAGUUCCGACCUGCACGAAUGGCGUAACGACAGCGGCGCUGUCUCCACCCGAGACUCAGUGAAAUUGAAAUCGCUGUGAAGAUGCAGCGUUCCCGUGGCAAGACGGAAAGACCCCGUGAACCUUUACUAUAGCUUUACACUGAACGUUGAGUUCGUCUGUGUAGGAUAGGUGGGAGGCUAUGAAACUGUGGCGCUAGCUGCAGUGGAGCCAUCCUUGAAAUACCACCCUGUCGUGCUUGACGUUCUAACCUAGAUCCGUUAUCCGGAUCAGGGACCGUGUAUGGUGGGUAGUUUGACUGGGGCGGUCUCCUCCUAAAGAGUAACGGAGGAGCACGAAGGUACGCUCAGCGCGGUCGGACAUCGCGCACUGUGUGCAAAGGCAUAAGCGUGCUUGACUGCAAGAUCGACGGAUCAAGCAGGUACGAAAGUAGGUCUUAGUGAUCCGGUGGUUCUGUAUGGAAGGGCCAUCGCUCAACGGAUAAAAGGUACUCCGGGGAUAACAGGCUGAUACCGCCCAAGAGUUCAUAUCGACGGCGGUGUUUGGCACCUCGAUGUCGGCUCAUCACAUCCUGGGGCUGUAGUCGGUCCCAAGGGUAUGGCUGUUCGCCAUUUAAAGUGGUACGCGAGCUGGGUUCAGAACGUCGUGAGACAGUUCGGUCCCUAUCUGCCAUGGGCGUUGGAAGUUUGAGAGGGGCUGCUCCUAGUACGAGAGGACCGGAGUGGACGAACCUCUGGUGUUCCGGUUGUCACGCCAGUGGCAUUGCCGGGUAGCUAUGUUCGGAAGCGAUAACCGCUGAAAGCAUCUAAGCGGGAAGCGCGCCUCAAGAUGAGACUUCCCGGGGCACAAGCCCCCUAAAGGAACCAUAUAGACUAUGUGGUUGAUAGGUCAGGUGUGUAAGUACAGCAAUGUAUUGAGCUAACUGAUACUAAUGAUCCGUGCGGCUUGACCAU
rnacentral:rRNA from 1 species